CCUACGGGUUGCAGCAGUGGGGAAUAUUGCACAAUGGGCGCAAGCCUGAUGCAGCCAUGCCGCGUGUGUGAAGAAGGCCUUCGGGUUGUAAAGCACUUUCAGCGGGGAGGAAGGCGUUAAGGUUAGUAACCUUAGCGAUUGACGUUACCCGCAGAAGAAGCACCGGCUAACUCCGUGCCAGCAGCCGCGGUAAUACGGAGGGUGCAAGCGUUAAUCGGAAUUACUGGGCGUAAAGCGCACGCGGGCGGUCUGUCAAGUCGGAUGUGAAAUCCCCGGGCUCAACCUGGGAACUGCAUUCGAAACUGGCAGGCUAGAGUCUUGUAGAGGGGGGUAGAAUUCCAGGUGUAGCGGUGAAAUGCGUAGAGAUCUGGAGGAAUACCGGUGGCGAAGGCGGCCCCCUGGACAAAGACUGACGCUCAGGUGCGAAAGCGUGGGGAGCAAACAGGAUUAGAUACCCUCGUAGUC
rnacentral:rRNA from 1 species